UUUUUUUUUUUUUUUUUUUUUUUUUUUUUUGCAAAUUUUUUGAAUCAUUUGCUUAUGACAUAAUACCGGACAACUUCCAGAGUGUAUCCGACAGUUUACUAUAGGUUAAAAUCGUUUGCAUGUAUCUAUCGGUCCCAAAAUUUUCAGACUUGUUUUCCGAAAAUCACAACCAAUUGGACUUCGGUGAAGUAGUUGGCUGGUGGAGAAAACUGGUAUACAUUCCAUUUAUUAAGCUAAAUGCAUAUCCGGGAUCAGUUCCACUUUGCACCAUUUUUCUUUUCACUGUUAGAAUUCAUGCCAAGAAAAACUCUCAAGAACCAUUCCCUCUCCCUUGAGCCACCCCAGAGACUAAGCCAUAGUACCAAUUAUUAUUCGGUCGGGUCUUUCUUUGGGCUUUGUUUAAAUCAUUGUACAUUUUCUUUAUAAAUCAUCACACGAUCCAACAGCACACAGAAAAAUUUGUAAGGACGACGAGGGAUGAACUAGGUAGUAGCUAGUCUCACUGCGGAGUACAGAUUGAGACCUUGACUCGAUCCAAGCAGGAUUUGCCAUCAAGUUUAUUGCCUUGUUGCCGCUCCAGAUACUCUCUGAACUUCAUUGGAGCGUACAAACCUGGGAUUUGAUUACCAUGACUGUCGGUCAGCAGGGGAGAGGCCGGGGCAACACAUGCGUCGAAUGAUGGACCAUUAGCCAUGGCUAUGGAAAUUCUUUUGGUUUUGUUAUUCACCACUGCUCUGUGCAAAAUACUCUUGUAUUUCCCGUUGCUCACUAUCUGUUUCAAUUCACGGGCAAUUAUAUUGGUAAUGGUAAUAGAUAAUGAAUUUAAUCUCGUUCCUUUAUAAUGAAUUUUUCCUUCUAUGUAUAAUUGUACUACAGAACAUAAAUAUGUUUUCAUUCGUGCCAGAAAAAGAAUUCACAAAAGCGCUGGAAGAACCCUUAAAAGAAAUUAUUAAAUGAUUGAUGAUUUUACCUCAAGGUGGUCACCGGUAUUGACCAGAAAAGAGUUUGGAAGCGCAUUGACAUUAACCCAUUUCCCGUUGUGUUGGAUUUGCAGCCCUCCCACUCCAUUUUGUAGGAGAAGGGUGAGGAGACCAUGAUCCGAGUGCGGGGCUAUGCCCAUUGCUAGCUCAGGCUGAGGACACGGCGGAUAGUAAUUUGCUACGUAUAUCUGCACACCUGAAUCGAAAUCCAGUAAUUUUGCUAUGUAUCCUUCUUCUAGACCAAGGCUUUGUGAUAUUCCUCCAAGCAACUCCCUCGCGACUCCUCGAGUUCUCUUGGCGUAUUCCUCCAAAAGUUCACUACAGCGGACCAUCGCCCCAACUACCGCUUAGAUUCCAAACCAUUUACGGCAAUUAUAUUAAGAAAAUUACUACUCAAUGAUUAUAGUAAUUAUAUUAAGAAAAUUAAGAAGUAAUGAAUGAAUUUGGACUAAAUUCGAUCCGAAUCAGAUAGAUAUUAACUUCACAAGUAUUAGUCCGAAACUCUGAAUGUCUUACUAGCUUAGGUGUGAGCUAAGCCUGAAUUUAUUAAAUCCCGCCUUAGAUGAUUCGGUUUACCACCCUAGUUUGUGAUGCAAGCAAAUAUUUUUUUUGACAAAUAAUUCCUAUCCAAAUAAUAAUUUUAACCGACUAUACUUAACUACCAGUAGUUUUUUUUUAAUAUACCAUUUUUUUAAUCUUCUUAUCCCUAUAUAUGAUCCCUUCGUAUUGUAGUAUUUCUAUCCUCGAUUUUGCAACUCUUUAAAACCUAAAACCAUACAAACAAUUGAUUGAGUUUUAUGGUACAUGUUUGUAAGUUUCAAAAUUACAUUGAUUGAGUCUUUUGUCUGUAAGUUUUGAAGUUGCAUUUAUGUGAUGUUACAAGUUUCAAUUUCUUUUUUUUUUUUUUUUGUCUGUUGAUCAAUCAGCAGGGGAAAACACACACACACACACUAAUCCCAAUCUAACACAUAUUAAGAGAAGGCCCAACUGACCAUGGAUGUCUAGAAGUAGAGAAAUCCACUUUUAGACAAAAGGAUUGCAUUAUUGCACAUUCUUUAGAUACAAUCCUUAGAUUUAAUUGCGAAAGGACUAGCUAAAAGUGCAUUAUCCCAGUCAGAAAAUUUAAAUGGUCCACUAAUUGUGCAUAAUAUGUGAUUAACGUCAUAUUCCACCCAGCACCCACUUAAAAAAGUGGGGUGUUUUCGGCUCAUGCACCUCAGCAACCCAAUCCACAAUGGUUAUGGAGCCUACCCAAUCCUCUUGAUUUCGUGUAGAAAACAAAUUUUGUCGAGUCACACUCGAAAACACACAUGAUUUAAACAAUAGUAAUAGUGGUAGAGAAUUCACCAGAAAUACUUGCCUUCGUACCAGCAUUAUAAUGGUGCUAAGAAAUUGACAAAUGGUUAGCGAUAAGUAAAGGGAAAACUGCAUCGUAAUAUUUUGCAUAUCCAGAAUCACGAAGCGUUUGCCGAGGCACACUGAUGUUUUGAAUUUUGACAAAUUUAUGAACUUAGAGAUUAAAAAUCUUUUCAAUGAUACUAGUUGACCAAAUUACCGUAAGUUUUUUUUUUUUUUUUUUUUAACUAAAAAAAAUGACAUGAGUCGUCGAGAUUGAGAGAAUCAUGUGCACCUGAAAACUCUGGGGCUACGAGGACAAUGAAAGUCAGGAUGGACGAAGACCUUGAGGAAGUCCCUCCACAAGAAGAUUUGCUCUUUGGAAGUAUUGAAGCUGGUGCCAUACCUGAUGGGAUCCAGCACAUGCUUAGUUUCAUAUCCCAUCUUCUCCUCCUCCGCCAAGUUGAAAAACUCGUUGGUAACAUCAAUUAUGGCAUUCAUCAGACUUUCCGGUAUGCCAUGAUUCACCACCUGCACGCGCCGUCACAUACUAUAUAGUAUCACCCAAACCAAACCAGGCACAAGUAUGAUAUAUUUUGCAGUUCUACUAGAAACAAAAAGAGGAGUCAGACUAUCCAGAAUUUCAGGUGUCCUGCCCCUACCAAGUAGCUAGGAAUCCAAAUUCUCAAGUGGGAGGAAAACAAAAGGAGAAAAACCACCAAUAAGAAGUAAAGGGAAUGAUCCAGCAGCAGUUACCAUGAAGAAACCCCAAUCUUGGCAUGCUCUUCCAAGGUCCCGGAUAGCUUGAAGACGCUGAUCAGGAUUGUUGGAGCUAAGGAGUGAAAAAUCGAUGACGGGGAUUGAAACUUGAGGGUCUGAAGCAACAGAAUCAUGGGGGUGGGCGUUGAAGUAAGCAUAACUAGAAGGGAUGAAAUCGAGGCUUGGUGAUUCUGCUAGUAGUUUAACGCUUGAGAAAUUAUCUCGGGGUUGAAGCAGUGGCGCCACUGAUGAGGCCAUAGCUUCAGUUGGGAGGGCAACAAUUAACGAUGAGGUGCCUGGGAAAUUUCUCUGAGUAGAAACUGAUGAAUUGGGAAUGGAUUUGUUAAGACUGCUAGCAGUCUAGUACAUGAUUGUUUGGUAGUGGUUGGUCUUUUUAAUUGACGCCGAGGGCAACGAGACCCCUGAUCUUUGUGCUUUUUAUCUUUUUCACCCUUUUUUUUUUUUUUGGUGUCUUCAAAUCCUUAAGUAGGGAGCUCAACAAGAAAGUUUUAAUGAAUCGAGAUCACCAUUCGUUUUGGCAUAAAAAGUCAUUAGAAUCUAUUCUUUCACCGCGAGGGGAACUGGUUUGGGAUUGCAUAAGCAAUUCAUGUAAUCAUUUUCUAAUGUGAUAACGUGAGGAGAUUACUCUUGUUAAGACGAACUCCAAUGGCUUAAUUUUGAUUAGUUGAACUUAACAACCAUGCUCUAAAAACUAAGCAAAUAAUGAUGAUAUGCGAUUACGUGAAUCCCUGCUUCAUUAUAUUAAAUAGUGCCUCGAGCUGUUAGUAUAAAAGAUCUCACAACAGAGAUAAUUUGAACUUUCAAACUAAGUCACUCAAAAGUAUAUGACCAAACAAAAGUCCUGAGAUUUUUCUAGAGAAUUAAUCAAACUCAACAAAGCCGAGAUCCAUGCUAGAAAAGACAGGCGGAAGGGUGAAACUUCGGCUGAUCAAUCACAGGUAGAAAGUGAAAGGUACUAUUCUGAUUAGUAUACUCCUAACACUUAGAACUCAAGGAGACAGAGGCACGAACCAAUAGAACAGAUCCUGUUCAAGUAAGGUCGUAGCUUACUCUUAACACUACUAAACUCCCAAAUAUACUUAGUUAAUUUUUUUUUUUUUUGGUCAACACUUGCUAGUCAACAUGAAAUUCGUACUUUGAGUUUCUCACAGUUGUCUAGCUAUCAUAUUACUUAACUCCUAUUUCCUUGGUUUUGGUUAUUAUUAUUAUUAUUAUUAUUAUUAUUACUGCUAUUAUUUUGCUAAAACAUGGAAUAAUAAUUAUUCAGUUCAAAUCAAUUUGCCCCUAAAGUGUAAAUAUGUAGAGACAUAGUAUAAAUAGAUUGUGGUGUAAAAAACUAAAAAAAGAAUUAUUUUUUCGUCAACUGGUUUGGAAUGGAACUAGCAAGUCCCGUGGUUUGGAGGGACUAAUACAACUUUGAGUGUGUUCCAAGAGUCGUUUCUGAUGAAAUCCGGACCUUCGGAGCCCUUCCCUCCUGUACUUCGUUGGACCAUAAGCAGCUGGAAUAAGAACACGCCGCCCACUUAGCAUAAAUACCAAAAUCAUUCGCUUUCCUAAUGAUCUUUAAAUUAAAAUGUUUUCAUUCCUAUGAUUUUAUCAAUUUAGUAUCAGUAAUUUUAACUUGCAUUAAUUUGUUUUAAUUUAAUUUUUCAAGUAAUUUUGGAGAAUGGACAUAUUUUAACUAGGGGUGGCAAUUUUCGACACGACCUGAAAACACGACACGAACCUAACACGAAAUUAAUGUGUUUGGGUUGAGGUUUUGGGAAUUCGGAUCAGAAUCGGGUUGGACCCGAUGAACCCGAAAAGAAAACAUGUCGAUUUCGGGUCAACCCGUGGUGACCUGAUAUGACCCGAUAUGACCCGUUUACGAAUUAAAAAUAAUUUAAUAAAUAUAAAAAUAAUUUUAUCUAACUAACCUAAGUUAUUCUUUUUUUCAAAGGCAUUAAUUACUUAAUCAUAAAUGAAUUUAUUUAAUUUGUGUGAAGUUGAAAUUAUUAUAUUUGGACAAAUAAUAUAUUAUAUUUUUUUUACUUUUAUACUGUUUUAAUUUAUUUUAUAUUUUAUUUGGGAUAAAACACUUUUACGGUGUUUAAUUUAUUUUAGAUUUGGUUUGGAAUUACUUAUUUAAAUUUUUACUACUUGAUUAUGUAAUUAGUUUUGUGAGAAAUUGAUUUUAUUAGAAAUUACAGUGAUAAAUUAAUAAAUUAAAAUUAAGUUUUGGGUCAUUUCGGGUCGACCCGCCAACCCGUCAACCUGAAAUUUUCGAGUUCGGGUCAGCAUACCUGACCCGUCACGGGUUGGCGGGUCGGGUUCGGAUCAACAGAUUUUCUGACGGGUUGACCCGAACCCGACCCGCCAACCUGAUUUGGACCCGAAUUGCCACCCCUAAUUUUAACUAUGAAUUUACAUUUUUAUAUAUAAUUAUUAGGUGUAUAUUUGAUUGCAAGUCUAAUAUUUUUGGAACAUUUUAUAUGAUUGGUCAAAUAUGACCAAGAAUUUAAUUUCAAAAUUUUUGAAAAUUAUAAAAAUAUAAAAUAAUUAUGAUAUCACGUUGACGUUACCGAAUUAUUAAGAACGAUCCGAUCGAUCUGAUCAGUUGGCCCCUAACCUAAUAGUUUAGUUGAGUCGCUAUCCGGUCCGAGUUUAAUAACAUUGCAAUACGGGAAGAACAAAAGAAACAAGUGGUCAUUCCAACAACAACAGGAAAAGGAAAAAGCUGAUAAUCAUGUACGCCUGAGAAUACGAACAAUAAUAAACAACAUAAGAACUAACCAGGAAGAGACAGAUUUCUUGUACAUCAGCUGCAGCAAAACGUCCGGACAGAAACUCAAAAGACCAGUUCCCUAAUUUACUUGAGCAUGAAUGUAUUUUAUACUCAUUCAUCCGACUAUUUGAUGAAGCACACCAAUUCAUCAGGCUCAUGCGAAGAGAACACGCAGCAGCAAGGAAAGAACAAAAAUCCACCGCACCGCUAAAUUUUUUAAUUGGAAACUGUGUAAGAGAAAAAUGCAGUUUUGAUACCCAAACUUUAACACGAGCAGUUUUAAUUUUCAAAUUUUGGACAAAAACAAAUCUAAUACCCAAUUUUUUAACUAUUGAGCGCAUUUAGUACCCUUGACGGAUUUGUCCCGAAUUACUAUAAAAAAAAAUUAUGUGAUAGUUAUAUGUCCGGUAACUAUUGUAUAAAAAAUGCCAAAAAAAUGUAAAAUUUUCUUCUAACAUUAAGUUAUCACGUAAAAUAUCCGUUUGAUACUAGGUACUAAGUUUAAGGACUAAUAAUUUUAUCAAUUAAAAUAUUCUUCUGACACUAAGUACUAAGUUUAAGAACUAAUAAUUUUAUCAAAAGGAUAUUUUACAUUUUUUUGGCAAUUUUUUUAUUAAUAGUUGCUAGACACAUGACUCCCACGUAGCAAUUUAAAAAAAAAUUGUUAAAAGUACUAAAUAUGCUCAAAAGUUGAAAAUUUGAAUACCAAAUUUAUUUUCAUUCAAAGUUUGAGGACUAAAAAUGCUCAUCUGUCAAAGUUUGAAUAUUAAAACUAGUACUUUUGGAUACCCCAAUUAUCCCAAAUAAUAUUUCGCUUGCAUCAUAAACACAUUUCCCAACCUAUCUUUUUAUAUUCCCAAUUAUCUUUUUAUCUCACAUACAUCACAUCACAAAAAGUGCUACAGUAAUUAUUCCAAAUAAUAUUUCAAAUAAUACACUAUCCAAACAAUAGUAUUUUUCUCAAUUGAGCCAUGUCAUAAUACAGCGGCUGUCUGAAGGAGCUGGAGCAAAGCAAAAGACCAUAAAGUCAACUCUAUUUGUUGUGGGUAAUUAAAGUGAAAUCCAAGGGUCAGAUGGUCAGGAAAGAGGCACUAAUCAAUUGCAGCCAGUGCAAUCGUAGCAAGCCAUCAGCUUAAAAUGUAUAUGAAAUGACCAAAGAAUCCACACACUAAUGGUGUUGAUAGGGGACAAAAAAGGGAACAAAAGUCACUAUUCAUUGUCUGCUACUUUGUACGUUGCACCUGCACAUAUUCCUCGAUGACUGUGACACGUUCAUCAGGACUACAAGUUGAGCUGAGCAGGGAGAAAUGAUUAACGACGGGUAAUAUUGAAACUUCAGGGCAUGUUUGAAUUGAUUCGAAUUCGAUAGUCCAUGAGGUGAGAUGAGCACAAUCGGAAGGGAGGGACCUGAGAUCUUAGUUAUGCCAUUUUCACCGACGGUUGAUUUUAAGCCAGAAAAGAGAAUUGCGAAGCAAUACAGGUUUCCGAUGGAACUGCUUAUAGAGGGAAUGAAUCAUAGUACACUGGCCGACUUAAGUAAUUAAACAUAAUCGUUGAUUCCUUCUAAAAUGGAUAAAAGAAAAACUCUUGCCGUCUAAUGCGCCCCCCCCCCACCCCCCAAUUAGGGUAAAUAUGAUCUCUUAAAGACGGGGAAAUAUUAUUAGUUUUAGAAACAUAUUGGGCCACUAAUUUUUCAGUCACUUCCAUCUGCAUACACUUUUUGCGUCACGUUUUAGAGCAUUGAUAUUACCCAAGAACAAAAGCAUAAUUUACCUAUCUUUGAUAGUACCAGAAUAUCAACGAAUUAAUAGAGUAUAAUCCUAUUGAUUUGUAGUCACGUUUCAUUCUAUAGUUGUUCGUCUUCAAGGAACUGUAAAUUCCAAUGGAAUCUGGAAUCUAGAGCACAAAAUGUAGUGUACUUGGACGCAUUGGAAGAGCUGAACAGGAAGGCACGGAACAGGCGCCCGGAACAAAGAUCAUAAGCAGCUCAUUAAUAUAUAUAUAUAUAUAUAUAUAUAUAUAUAUAUAUAUAUAUAUAUGGGGCAUGCAAUUAGUGCAACUUGAGCUGUUCCAAGGUGGGUUUCUGAUUAAGUCUGGAACUUCGUUGCAGCUGCACAUAUUCCAUGUACUUCAUUUGGCCAUAUGCGGGUGGAGUUUCGCGCAGUAGCGGUGGAGCUGGUGUGACAAUGGUGUCGGGUGAUGGACCAUUGGCCACCACCAAGGAAAAUCUUGUCUUCUUGUUAUUCAAAACGGCUCUGUGCCAGACGCUCUUGUACUUUCCGUUGCUUAUUAUCUGUUAAUGACCAUCAAAUUCACAAGUAUAUAACAUCAGUCUCUUCUUUCUGAUUGAUUCACGUUGUUCUUUUUAAUUUUUUCCCUAAAUAUCUACAUGUUCAAACUAUAUAAUUCGAACUUACCUCGAGCUGAUCCGCAGUGUUGACGAAAAUGGCGCCCGGAAUGCCAGUAAGAUGAAGCCACUUUCCCUUAUUCUGAAUCUCGAGGCCUUCAACUCCAUUCUGAAGAAGAAAUGUCAAGAGGCCAGGAUCUGUGUGGGGUGGAAUGCCUAUUGCCAAUUCAGGCUGAGGACAGGGAGGAUAGUAGUUUGCGGCGAAGAUUUGAGUACUCGAGUCCAAUUCCAUUGCUUUCUCAAUGUAAUCUUCUUCCAGGCCAAGGCUUUGUGAAAUCCCUCUAAGUAAUUUCCUCGCCAAAUCUCGGGUUCUCCGAGAAUAUUCCAGUACAAUGUCACUACAAUGUAACAAUAGUAGAGGAGUCAAGGAUUUUUUUUAUGAGCAGAAAAUUAGUGUAGCAGUAUGCAUUAGUCUAGUGAUUAAGAUUGCGAUUAACCCAAAAACUUAAAGGUCUUGAAUUCAAAUCCCAUUUCCACUUCUUAAAUCCCAUUCCUCGUGCUUCUUCGGAUAAAAAAAAAAUGUAGUAGUAAAAAAGAAAGAACAUCUCUACCUCAUUUCUUUGGGUUUAGUGGGACAGUGAUACUCUGGAUGCACGAAAAACCUCAAAUAAUCCCUCCAUAACUUGACUUGCUGGUUGGAAUCAUUGCCAUCAAUGGUGCCAGACCUGACCAUGACGGGAUAUAAAGGGUGUUUGUUGUCAAAUUGCAACUUGUCCUCCUCCGGCAUAUCGAAAAACUCAUUACACGCAUUAAACAAUGCACUGAUCAAGUUUUCCGGUAUGCCAUGAUUUACCACCUGCAUGGAUGGAGAUACUCAGGCGCGUCAACCAAUUUGUUAUAAAACCAUAACUAGCAUAUGCAAAGAGCAAUAUUGGUACAACGAGCAGGACUCGUACGAAACCAUUUGCGGCGCAUGGAUAUUCUCAAGGAAGAGCAUAUGUACAAAAGAUUCAUGAUUAAUGCUAAUGAGUUCAAUGGAGAAGAGGACAGAGUUUGUUAAUUACCAAGAAGAAGCCCCAUUCCUCGCAGGCUUUACCAAGGUCCAGGAUGACUUUGGCACGUUCAUCAGGAUUAGUUGAGCUGAGCAGCGAAAAAUCAAUGACGGGAACUGGCACGUCAGGUCCCGUUUGAAUGGACUCUUGGGCAUCCUUAAAAUGAGCAAAAUCAGAAGGGAGGGACUUGAGGUCUUUUGAUUGAACAAGGGUUUUGAUACUGGCCAUUUUUCUGCAGGAUGGUAAUGAUUAGCAAGCGAAGCUGGAAUAAUGGCAAAGGAGAUGGGAGAUUUGAGUCAGGAGUCAGGAGUGGCAAGCAUGAACGGAGGAUGUGUACCUAUUUAUGUACAGCGUCGGGCGCUGGACGAAUUUGACUGUCAGGUGUGCGGGGUUUGGAAAUUAGGUACCUGAGACAGCAUAACAUAACAGCCUCCCUGGUCAAUAAUUUAUUCCUAUCUCGCUUUGAGUUUCAUUUUUCAGCUUUGUCCAGCACUAGGACUCAUCUAGAAUUCUAGCUAGAUAAUGAUAAUUUCGAAUGGCCGAGACGGAAGAGCAUAUAUUUAACAAACAAAAAACUGCAAAAAAAAGUUUUGUAGGGAAUCAGAAGCAAUGAGCUCGCUCACUUGUUGUGUGAUGUAUCCCUCACAGUCACAUUGUCGACGGGUCAUCAAGCUGGUAGGUGAGAUUAUGUUUAUUAGUCUCUGAGACGUGACAUGUUUUUAGAGAACAAUUCCAGGCCAAAAAAGGUGUGCUAUGAAUAUUGGGGGGAUUUUCUCCAACCAAGAAACACCGAAAAAAUUCGUAAGGGAUUGUUUAUAUAAUAACAAAAGAGAAACGUACCUAGUCUAGUCUUCUAGUAAUAAAGUGCCACUCUGUUUGUGACUAGAAGGGGUGAUUGUCAGUUUAGGUCGAGCAACUCGCGUACGAGAGGCUUUCACAGUAAGGGUCCGAUUAAUGCAGGAGGCAAUUAGAAAAUGUCAAAAAUGGAAAGUUGUAUUUCUGCAUCCCGAUUUUAGGUUUGUAGGUCCCUCCAUACACCCAUUCUAGAAGCAACGUAACUCAAUAGCAGUUAAAACAAAUGGAUCAUAAUUGGUGUACCAUAUAAUAAACUCUGACGUAACCCUCGAUCAAAUCCAAAAAAAAAUGGCUGCCCGGUUGUUUGCAGAGGUUAUACUUGUUUUGCAGGAGUAGGAUAGGAUAGUUUUGUAGGAUAGAAACACGAGCCUUCCCCCCCCCCCCCCCCUCCAUGUCCGCUCUGUCUCUCUCUUAGGUUAAUACUAGUAGUACUUCGCAUUAAGUAUUUCUUUUCCAUUCUAUACCCUAUUUUUUGGGGUAGAUUUUUUAUUUUUAUUUUUAUUUUUUUUUGCAAUUAAGUAUUUUUUUUCCAUUUUAACAUUUAGCAAAUGUUUAUUUAUAUUUUUAUAAUAAAAAGUUUGGGUGAUUUUGCUUUUGUUCGGCACCACGUUUUAAGACAGAUCCAUCAAUUCAUGAGUCACAACUUUUUUUUAACAAAAAAGUGGUUCAUGUUUACCAACUGGCCGACAUGUAUUGCCAAUAUCUAACUAGACUAAAAGGUCAGUUGAAUUGCACUUCUUGAAGAGUUUUUGGGAAAUAAUUACUGUAACAUAUUUUUUUAAAAUGUAAUAUAUGCAAGAUAAAAAGAUGAUUAUAAAAAGUUUGUAAAAGAAAUAUUCACGAAAAAUGUAAAACUUUUCCACAAAAAUUAACAAUCAAAUUAAAAUAAGGGCUAAGCCAUUGGAUAAGUAUUAGAAGUCAACACACGUUGGCUCACUUAAUAAGAAAUGACAACAUCCUUUGAAAAAUUGCGUACUUAAAUUUUGCUACUGAAGAUUGUGAGAAAUGUGCCGAUGGAUAAUAUAUAAAUAUUCAAACUAUUUUUACAAACAAAAAAAAAAAAAAAGAAUAAGUAGUGAUAACGUUUCAUGUACAAUUCAAGCAAUAAGUUAAACUUUUGCAUGACAUGACAAGAAAAAUAGAAUUUAUUUGUUUGUUUGGAAAUCUGGUUAGUUGAAAAAAAUUUAGGGAAUAGCCUAACCCGAUUUUUCGCCCAUUCCCAGCACAUGUUGCUCAUUCUUUCCAAUUUAGCAAUUGGGAGGCCUUUGCAAAAGCUUUAGCAAAUGGGAAGAUUGCCUGCCGUGUUUGUUCUUUACCUUUUCGGGGAAAAAAAAAACCUUAAGGCAAGCACGGCAGGUUUGGUUGUUGCAAUUGUUGGCCAACUAUUGGCUACCGUGGGCUUUUUCAAUUAAAAAAAAAAAGUGUACGUUACCUGCCGUACUUAGUCAGUACGGCAUGUCAUAGAAUUUUUUUUUUAAUUAUAAUUUAAGUAAUUAGCCGUUAAACUUACAGUUUAGUCUUUAAACUUUAGAAUAAGACGCUUUAUUCUCUAAACUAUCAAGUCUAUUUCACUUUAGUCCCUAAAGUAUAUAACUUAUUCCACUUUAAUCCUUAAAAUAUAAAAUUACUUUUAUUUUUGUCCAUAAAUUAUUUUCACUUUAAUCUCAAAACUGUUCCACUUCCUCGACAAUCUUACUUAAAUGGGAUAAAAUUUAUAAUUCAAGGACUAAAGUGUUUCAUUUUUAAGUUUAAGGUCCAAAAUGAGUGUUUGGGGAUAGUUAAAUGGUACAAAUUGGAAUUAACUCUAAUUCCCCCGAAGAGAUCAAUUUAUUUACUCGAUUUCGAGGAUCAAACCGUCUUUACUGUGCACGAAGUUGCCCACGUAUACAAGAUACCAUCAAAUUGAUGAAUAUGAUUGGGGGUGCAGCCUCUCAACCACAAAGGCCCUAGCCCUUAAGAUCUAAAGUCUCUAUUUUCGGAGAAAAUUCUAAAAUGUCAAAAUUUAAAAAUGAAGAGGAAAAUUGGAGAUCUAAUAUACUUGUAUACUAUAUAAAUGAAAUAAUAAACUUUGCUCCUCGUAUUAGAUUUCCAUUUGUUUUUUUUUUCCUAGAACCCACCAUUGUAGGUUUAUCAAUUUCUGUUUUAAAAAUCAUUCUAAACCAGAAAAGUCAUCAAGUCUUUAUCUUUUUCUAUUUUGGUUAGGGGUGAACAAAUUCGAUACGUACUGAAUUCAUACCCGAAUUCAAAUUCAAUUUGGUAAUUUGAAAUCGGGUAUUUGGUAAUUUGAUACAAAAGCGGUAUUUACCGAAUUCACUGAAUUCUAAUAUGGUAUGAAAUAAGUAAUGAGAUUACGAAUUUGUUAAUAACCAAUUUCAAAUUCGUUUAUAAAGAAUUGGUUUACUAUUAGUAUAUACUACUAAUAUAUUAUUAUAUUAUAUAGAUAAAUGCUAUUAAUAAUAGUUAGUAUAUGGUAUUUUCAUGUACUUAUGAUAAUAAUAAUAUAUAAUGAUGUACAAUACUAUUUUAGUAUUUGUUAAUUGUUAUAUGACUAUAAUAAUACAAAUAUACAAUAAUACAUAACUUAACUAUAAUAUUUAUUAUUUUAUACAUGACUAGAAUUAGAUAAUAAUUAAUAAGUAUAGGUAUAAUACAUAACUAUAUUUAAGUAUAACUAUAAUACUUAUUAUUUUAAUUAGGUCAGAAACUGCAAUUAAAGGAUUUAGCAAAUUUUUUUUAAAUGAAAUCGGUUAACCCGAAUUCAUUACCGUUUCCAAAUUCAACGGAAUUGAAUGAAUUCGGGUAUCUCUAAUUCUAAUUUGAAAGCGGUUUAGAAUUUUGUAAGUUCAAUAAUCGAAUUUACUAAAUUCAUAUAACCGAAUUACCGAAUAUGCACCAUUUGCUCACCCCUAAUUUUGGUAAAUCUUCUUCUUUGUAAAUGGCAUCAAGUCGUUAUAGUCUUCCAAGACUAUUAUGCUCCAUGAAGCGCAAGGUGAUAAACCUACGAUGGAGUUGGAGGCCUAAACCGUUGGCGAAGGAUUGAAUGGUGACGAUGAAAGUAAUGGCAUAUGCAACAGAAAGAGAAAAACACAACGUACGUGUUAUGAGAAUUAGGCUAAAAACACAUUCAAUAUUCGAACUUCAAAGUAAGGAAAACUUAGAGAGGAUAAGUUAUGGGGGAUUCUACGGAGAGAAAUUUAACCGCAUGCCUUCUCUGUUUCUUCUUUUUUGUUUUUGUGCUUUUCGAAGAGUUAAACUUAAACUUCUUUUAUUUAGCAAUUACCGUCAAAGCGUAUAUGAUGAACCUAAGCUCAAACUUGAAUAUGAAAACGAUGAUGAAUGCGUUCAUCCUUAAUCCUCUGCAUGAAAAGAACACCACCGACGCCAACUUCUUCUAAGGUGUCCCAUUCUCUUAUUCUGACCUACUCAGAUUGCCUCAACAUAAUAGCCUCAAAAUAAAAGCAAAAUCAGCUACAGCUCUUUCCCCUAACAAGUUUCAUCCGAUGCCUCGAAAGCAUUCUUGUUCUUGCAGUAAGCAGAUUGGAGUAGUAGUCUAAAACUUUAUAUCUUGUGCGCCAUACAUAUAGUUAAUUUUUUAAAAAAUUAGUAAAAAUUUUUCACUUAAAAGUUUGUACACAAAUUUAGCAGUGCUUAAUAUAUUAAGUUAUGUUAUCAAACAUACACUGAAUUUAAAAAAUUUUAAAUAAAUUAAUUUUCAGUAUUAAGUGGAGAUACCAAACAAGGCCUUAGCUGUAAUAGGGAGUAAUAUUUUUCACCAACACCACCAAUACGAGUAUUAUAAAUCCCCAAAAAUCGAAAUUGCAAAAGUAUGGUUCGAAAUACAUAGUGGAAGACACAUAUAUAAAAAUAUAUAUAUAUAUAUAUAGAGAGAGAGAGAGAGAGAGAGAGAGAGAAAGUAGGUUAGCUGGGAGGGAGGAGAAUCCAAGUGGACGAAAAACUCUUUCACAAAAAACAUAAAAGUAGUACAAGUCCAAUAGUACUUAUUUAUCACUGUUGUACGAGGGAAAAAAAAAAAAAAAGAAAUACAUCUAUAUUUUUCCUCCAGUGAGUUUUAGUAAGCGGAGGAGGAGGAGCUCGUCAGCUAGCGUCCAAUAUCUCCCGCCUCGUUUACAAAUGUAACAAAUGUAGCAAUAAGGUGGAAAGAAUGGUAGCAGGACAUGCAGCAGACGAUCGACAAGAGGAAGAACAAACUAGUGCAGCUUGAGUCGAUCCAAGAGGGGCUUCUCGUGAAGUCUGGUCACACGUUGUACAUUCACGUAUUCCAUGUACUUCAUCGGACCGUAUGCAGCCGGAGCUUCGCGCAGCAGCGGUGCGGCUGGGGUAACAAUUGUAUCAGGUGAUGGACCAUUCGGCACCACCAAGGUAAUUCUGGUCUUUUCGUUAUUCACCACUGCUCUGUGCCACACACUCUUGUACUUCCCAUUGCUCAAAACCUGGUGGUAAUAAUUUUGAGUUCAUAAACAAACAAACCCCCAAAAAAAAAAAAAAGAGAAAAGAAACACACAUUUGAAAAUUUUAUUAUUCAUGCAUUUCUUUUAAUCAUUGCGUAAUUCAAAGCAUCAAGUUUUUUAGCCCAUUCUCUCUGCUUUUUUUUUUAAAAAAAAAAAAAAAAGGUUUCGUCCAUCCAAGAGGUUAGUAAAACUUGAGUAGUAGUAUGCCAUCCAUACCUCGAGUUGAUCGGCAGUGUUGACGAAAAUGGAGUUGGGAAGGGCAUUAACGUGGAACCACUGGCCUUCGUGUUGGAUCUCGAGGCCUCCAACUCCAUUUUGCAGGAGAAAGGUGAGGAGGCCAUGAUCCGUAUGAGGAGGAAUGCCUAUUGCCAAUUCAGGUUGAGGACAGGGUGGGUAGUAAUUUGCUGCGAAGAUUUGGGUACCGUGGUCCAAGUCCAUGGCUUUCUGGAUGUAGUCUUCUUCCAUGCCCAAGCUCUGUGAUAUUCCCUGCAGUAAUUUGCAUGCCAAAUCUCUGGUUCUCUGAGAAUACUCCGAUAUAAGAUCCCUACACCCAUUCAAAUUAAGUCAAAAUGACCCCGUCUGGAUUGGAACCCAUUUUUAGUCAGUUCAGUUUCCAUGUGGUAACAACAUAUAUAGAACAUAUAUUUAUUUAUAUAUAAUCUAUAUCUAUAUAAGUUGCUUUUCAUUCUUUUUGUUUGUCCUUCUGCUUUUUUUUUUUUUGAGGUCGCGUGGGUCAACAGAGAUAAAGUAGAAAAUAAAAGGGUUUGGUGGGGCCAGUACGGGACCAUUUUUCAGGCAAUUGGAGUCAAGUGCUAGUGCAAUUUUUAAUCAAUUGACAUCAGGUCAAUUUCACACUUCCGUGCGUUGUAAGUUGUAACUUAGUUAGUAGUGUAGGUAACAAAUCGAGGCCCCGCCAAAAGUGACGCAACAGUAGAAUUUAUGAGUCACUAUAAGUCAAAUCAUACCUAUUAGUAUUACUAUUCCUAUUUAAUACUAACAUAAUAAAACACUUUCGUAAUCCCUUGGGUCGGUCAAAAGAAUAUGGCUGAUUUAUAAAUGAUCAUCCAGAAGAUUGGUAUUGCUUUAGUAGUGGAUAGAGUAUUAUUUAAGAUGUUAUCUGGAAUAAUUAUUGUAAUAUUUUUUAUGAUGUAAUAUACGUGAAAUAAAAAUAUUGUUUGAAAAUUUAAAAAAAAAUGCAUUGAAAAACAAGUGUUGACUUCUGAUCUAAUUAUUCCAUUUUAAAAACUUGACCCCAAAAAAAAAAAAAAAAACUUUUUGGUUUUGUCUUCUUUUAAACAAUAGAAAGUUCAUUGUAUCCUCUUCAUCCAUUUUAGGUGGGGGUGGGUUGGCAAGGGGUGAUGGGAUCCACUAUAUUUGGAUCAUUCUGCCAAGAAUACUAGUAGCGAGCAAAUCAUCUACGUAACUUUUCACAGGGGAAUCACGAUUGUUGACAAGGGAAAGGAAAAACUAUGAUGGGAUGGAUGGUUUACCUGAAGUCCUGGGGUUUAUCCGGGCAGUAAAACUCCGGAUGCACAAAGAACCUUAGAUAAUCUCUCCAGAAGAGGACCGUUUGGUUGGAUUUAUCGUGAAUUGUACUGCCGGACCUGACCAUGACCGGAUACAGGGGAUUUGUGGUUUCGAACUUGAGCUUCUCCUCCUCCGGCAUAUCGAAAAACUCAUUACACACGUUAAACAAUGAGUUGAUUAGGUUUUCCGGUAUGCCAUGGUUUACCACCUGCACGCAUCUUAUAUUUCAUCAUCCAAUUCAAUCAUAUGCUAUGCAACACUAGUUAUAUGCAUGCCGGACAGAGCGAUUAAUUAUUCAUUGGUUCAAAUAUGUGUAUAUAUAUGUGUAUUAAUUUUUUCAUCAGCAAAGUUCAAGGUGGUGAAGAAUAUGAUGGUUUUCUCAAAGGAGGAUUAUAGAAGCAAAGCGGUGAGAGGAGGAUUAAAUAAGAAAGACGACAACGGUGGCAAUUGAACUCCCUCUCCCUCUCAUUCUAAAGCGAAAAGGGGGAGAAAAAAAUUCCUUUACGAACUACAUUGCAUUGGUUGGAGUAUGAAGAUUCAAACAAUUCUCGAGUAGGAUACGCAGUCUAUGUUUGCUAGAUGCUUUAUUCUCAUGAAGGGAGAAAAAGAGAGUGUACCAUGAAGAAGCCCCAUUCCUCGCAGGCUUUUCCGAGGUCCUCGAUGACUUUGGCACGUUCAUCAGGAUUGGUUGAGCUGAGCAAAGAAAAAUCAAUCACGGGAAGCGAAACUUCAGGGCCUGCAACAAUGGAUUUUUGGCUGUCUUUGAAGUGAGCGUAAUCAGAAGGGAGGGAUUUGAGGUCUUGAGAUUGCACGAGUGCUUUAACGCUUGCCAUUUGGGUCGUCAAGUAAAUAUGCUUAGUUAACUGAUCAAGCUGGGAACCGCAAACUAAGCAAACUGAGCUAAGCAGUAGUAGGAUGGCGGUGGAAGAAUGGCCCCCAGGCCUGGCUCAAUUUAUAGGUGCAAAACUAGUAGACUCAGUAGUAUAUCCCGGGUCUCAAAGUGUGAGCGCCCGUUGCCCUUGGCUGGCAGCUGUUUUGAUACUUUUGUGCGGAUGGGUCCUACCAACCCCACUUCCCCACUUACCAGAUAUUUUCAAUUUAAGACCUCUUAGUAUACUAACCUUCCACUAUUUCCCUCUAAUUCAACCCUUCCCCCAUACUUCAAUCCCGUUUGUCCUUAAAGAGCAUAAAUAAGAUAGAGAGCAAGGCAUCAAAGAUUUUGAAAUAACCAUUUUACUCUGAAAAGGACUAAAUUUGACCGGUGAGAUGCAAUGUUUUAAAACUCAUAUCAGUAAGUAAACUAGUGAGGUGUCUGGCUCGCGAUUUAAUCGGUUUGACCGAUUCAAUCCCGAUUCAAUGUUUUGUUAAUAAAAUAUAUAAAUAUAUGUGUACAAAAUAAGAUAUCAAGUGGACUAAUUUAAGAGAUCACCUGAUAAAAACAUAAAUAUUUUUCAAAGAACUUACACCUUCAAAGAUAAAUUUUAGUGAUUAGUCUUCAGACUUCAAAAAAAUUAUUCUUUUUUUUUUUCCAGUCUAAUUGACAAGAGCAUAAAACUGUCAUUUUCAUGGUCGUUAUGAUUCACACGGUUUUGAUCAAUUCUUAGACCUAACCAAUAUAAAGUAUGAAUCAAAUCAAAGUCACGACCGAUUCACAAUUCGAUCGAUCUGAUUCGAUCUUCAAAACAUUAAUUGGUGAGACCUCGAAUCCCUGUUUUGAUGGGGCAAUUGCUACCUCGAAGUAUAUAACUUGACAAAAUUAUUCGAAAAGUUUGAUAUAUCUACCAAGACGACCUAGCACUAAGAGCCAAAAUCGUUUUAAUAGUGUGUUUGUCCCGCCAACAACAUUAGCCACUUUUAUCCACGGAUAUGAUGGAAAAAGAACGGACUUUGUUGUGGAAAAUAAUUUCCUGCAGCAGGAACCGACGCUUUCGUUCGUUAUUCACAGAGGGAACACCAAAAUUGACCUUUUGUUCGCAAGGCAGAUCUCGUUUUUGUUAAUGAAACUUCAAAAAUAUUUUUGGAGAUUAAUAUUUAAAUGGGACACGAUGAUGUAUCAUCAGUUGUCAUAUUUGGAACUUAGAUGUGAAAGUGCAUUGUAAAGCUGCUAAUUUCACUUUCACGUCAUUGCAGUAAUAAAUGCGCUCUAUUUAUUUUUCCCGGUUGUUUGCUAGCAUGAGAACACGGUAGAAAGAACAUACAAGAGCAAGUUUCAUUGAGCUCUAGUGCCUAGUAAUCAAGUGAGAAUUGUAUGUGCUCUUUCAUUAACAGCAGUUGAAUGCUGCUGGAAGCCAUGCAAGGAAAGUUUUUAUCCAUUAAAUAAAAUUAAAACAAAAAAAAAAAAAGGAAACACGACCACCAUAAUAAGGGCCGAUCAAAACACCAUCUUUAUGGUACACCAACGACGAAAUUCAUGAAUACAAAUAUUUUGAGAAUAAUUUGAAUAAAAAGCCAAGUGAUCAGAUGUUGACGAGUAUUCGUUUCUUAGUAACACUACUCGAUUAUUACUAUUUGUCACGUUGUAGUGUACAUGCUUACACAUCAAAUUAUUUGAACCCGAUCCUGCAUGUUAUAAUAACCUCUUUUUUAAAAAUUUUAAAAAAUAACUUUAGGGUUUUUAGUAGUCGAUUCUGCUAGUUCAUUUGAACUAACUCAACGAAGCUGCUGGGCUACAGAUCAACUUGGAAAUUUAUCCGGCCAGCAGCGUAGCCUAAUUGAAAAGACCGUAGCAGUAACCAUGUACGUCCGACAACGAUGCACGCACGCUGUGGUAAUUUGAUUCUGACUGCGGUGGCCUGCGAAGUUGUGCCUUUCUUUUUCUUUUUUUUCCUUACAAUGGAGGGUGAGCGUUGUACAGAAGAGACUAAUGUAGGUAAAGCAACACCACGAAUAUCAAUGCAGGGGGGGUCCCUGGGAUUAGUCAUUCUCGUAGCCAAGCUCCUUCCCACAUCUAGAAGUUGUGCCUUUCUAGAUGAAGAAGAAGUGAUGCAGGUUCAAAGUCCAAGUAAAUCAUGAAAGAGGCACCCUGACAACCACAAGUUCGCACAUGGCUUUCAACUUAAAAACUUGGUUGGUUGGAUGGUGAUACUGAGGCAAUAGAUACAUUUUGAAUAACUUGGAAAUGAUCACAAAGUCAAAAUUUAGAACGAAUUGCAAGUAGAGCUGUUAAUCGAGCCGAGUAUUUGACCGUCGAGCUCGUUAGGAAAACGAGUUUUAAAAUGUGUUCGAACUCGGCUCGUUAAAGGUACAUGUGGCUCGAGCUCGAGCUCGAGCUCGACUCGUUUAUCACAAACGAGUCGAGCUUCACGAGUUCGAGCUCGAGUUCGUGCAAAUUAAUCUUAAUAAAAACCUAUAAUUUUUAAUUUUUAUAAUUUUGAUUUCUAAAAUGACAAAUAUGCCAUUCGUUAACGAGCUCUAACGAGCUAGUCGAGUAUCAAACGAGCCGAGUAAGUUUCGAGCUCGUUAACUAAACGAGCAUGUUUCGAGCUCGAGCUCGACUCGUUAACCAAAAUUAACGAGCCAAGCUCGAGUCUUAACGAGCCGAGCUCUAACGAGCUUUCGAGCUACUCGAUUAACUUAACAGCUCUAAUUGCAAGCAACCACCUACUCUUAGGGUAAUUAGUCACCAAAGAGUUUUAAAAUUCUAUUUGAGUGUAGGUCAAAGGAUCAAAUCCUCUUAAUUACAUUUCAAAAUUCAAACUUUCCUGAAAAUGUUGUCAGCUGGCGCUCGUCUGAAUCGGUGGUGAUACAGUGGUCUCCGUUGCAUAUAUUUAUGCAUAAUAUCAUUAGAUAUUGACUUAUAAUAGAUAAAUAAAAUUUGACUUGAACUUAUCCAUAUAAGUAAAUCUACAUAAAUAUUUCUUAUGAUCUCAUAUAUAGUAACAACCUUUUUUAUUUUGAGGCAUCGGAACAUGCAACCUAUAGUUAAAAAUUAACUCGACGUUGAAAAUAAUUAGCACAUUCUACUGAACCAUUUUUUAUACCCUUUUCUUUGAAUAUAAUUCAUUUUCAUAAAUUUGGAUACGAAAAAGAAAUACUUCUUAAAAACUUUUUAGAUUUUAAUUUCAUGUAACAAAAGUAAAUUUUUGUUAUUGUGAUAGUUUAAAAUGUAAACCCGUGCAUAGCAUGCAUGAGUCGACUCGAAAUACUUAGUAAACAGUAGUGUAGAACCAUGGAAAUGGUAUGUGUUGCAGACAUUUAGCACUCAGCCGCCGAUUCCUUCGAUAAGCUAACAACAUGGAUCAGAGUAAACUUUCUUCUUUUUAUUUCUUUUUUGAAAAAAAUUCUAAUCAGUAGUGCCUUUUCCACAUCAUUUUACUUGUAUUAGUUAGUCACACUUGAAGACUUUUGACUUUUGCUACGAGAAAUUAAGCAGUAGUAGUAUUAAUUUGAUGGAAAAACCCCAUGGAGUCCAAGAUCACAUAAAUCUCGAUCAGUAGAACUAAUUGGUCAAAGACAAUUUUGAACUCAUUAAUUAAGAGCUCUGACUGAAAUGACGAUCCAAAUCAACAUUAGAAAGGUGAAUCGUAGAAUCCUACAACUGGGAUCACAACUCUUUUGACAACAAUGGGUUCCCAAAGCUGAUACUCCACUGUACUGGGAGCCGGCAUUAGCGUCUUUGAUCGACUGAGAGUUUAGUCCCACAAGAAUAGGAAAACAUAUUAAGCUGGAAAUUUCCAUGGUUUUGCUUGUGACGCCGUCACUCUGUUGACUGUUUCUUCUCACCAGUCCACCUGUCGUAAGUAACCACUUGGAGGUGCAGUUGCCUUUUUUUUUUUUUUUUGCUUUAUGCGUUACAAUUAUGUCUGUUUAUGGCUGUAUUUAUUCCACAUUCAAUUCUGGGAGAGAAAAUGUGAACUUGUUUGUUUCUUCGUUUGCUCAUCAGGAAAAUGCUACUUCUUCGUUUGACUUUAAUGUAGUGUUAUGCACCUGUCCAAUUCUUAGAACACUAAGACGUAGAUGCUCAUUUAUUCUUUCCCCUGAGUUGAUGUUGUCAAACUUGACAUCCCGCUUGUUAUUUUUGAGUGUUCUAGGAUAAGGUUGAAUAAAAAGAUGUUUUCCUGAACAUUUUGAGGAGUGAAUGUUCUUGAAGAAAAAGAAAAAUAGUCGUCCAACUUAAAUGAUUCAUGCUAAACAUGAAAAUAAAACGAAUAAGUCGAAACGAUCUUUUCUUUUUAUGUCAUUCCUGCAUGUCAAAUCGAGAGGCAGAGGUUUUUAGUUCAAAUUUUACAAUGACAAGUUGUUUGAAUCAACUGACAUUAUUAUUAUUCAUCCUAACAUUUUCAAGUCAGUUUGUAAUUUUAUUCAAUUAAAGUUGUCUCAGGAAUAUUUUACUAGCACAAUUUUUACUUUGAGGUCUCAAAUGUUCUCCACCGGCUUGUGGGAAAAAAAAAGUAUAGUUACUACAUAUAUACUACUUGACUUCCAUGCACACUUUUGCUGUAGUACUUUGCGGGGCUGUGGCUUAAACGAAUGAAGUUACAACCGCAUUUUAUGAUCAAAAUGGUUUUCCGUCGAACAAACAAGUGAAUCAGCUCAGCAAAGAAUCAGCCUGUAUUGUUCUUGUUCUCAAAAUGUACUGUAACGAUUUGAUAUACGUGAGAUAAAAAGGUGAUUGAAAAAUGUGUUCAUGAAAAGCGUAAAAUUUUUUCGUUAGAAAAUUGCAAUCCAAAGAACACUAAGAUUUAUAAAUUUGGUUUUAGAUCUAAUAAAAAUCUACUCCACCAUGUAGAAUAACAUCAUGCGUCCAAACUGGGAACCCAUGAUUAAAAAAGUAGGAAUCAUUAAAGUUGAUGCUUGGAUAACCUUUGAAUGUUGUACUUCCUUCCACUCAAUUAUAUGUUUGACACAUCAAUUAAGCCUCCUCAAUAAUUGAGGUCCGAUAUUCUUUAGGCAAGAGCCGUAUACAACAAAAAUCCACACAUCAAAAGAGUGCAUUAUUCCUAGAGCUUUAUUGAUUGCCCUUUAAUCACACAAAAUUAAAAUCUUUUCCUUGGCUUAGUUGUUUCUAUUAUUCUGUUCUUCUUCCAGCCUACAUUAAUCACAUUUUUUAAGCAUACCAAAAUCUAAGUAAGGACGGUUAACAAGAGUACAAUAAAGAAAGAAAAUAGAGGCGGUUGCAGGCUGUAGCCUGUAAAGGACUAAAGUUUAGCCAAAUUCCCGAUAAUAUAUAUAUUUCCUGACCCAAAUUCACAGCAUGAGGAAUAUGCCACUCCAUUUAAGUCAAGCCGUGUUGUAUAUGCAGCAGUACUUCUACAGGUAUGCACUUCGGGUCGGUUCCAACCGCUCGUUUGGUUGGAAACGACCUUAGUCAGACGGCAUGCACCCAAGACUCCUGCUGCUGUUGAUUAAUGGGUUUUUGCUUUCCGACUAGAUGCUGUAAAAUUUUUCUGCAAAAAACGCAACUUCCGUGUUCCCACUGGAUUACUGUCAUUUGUUUCUGCCGCUUGGACUAAUUCCAUCAAUAUCGGGACAGCAAUUGAUGGUUAAGGAGUUUGGCGGUUUUCUUUUUCCUUACUUUAGGUUGGGUUUGAAAAAGAUCGCCAGUGCAGGCUGCUGAUGCCUGACCGCCAUAAUCUGAGUUGAUAUCUUGCAUGAAUUAUUUUGCCGUUUAUUGAUUGUUGUCUGCUAGCAUUAAUUAUUUUGCAGUUUAUUGGUUCCUGCUUGCCGAUCACUAGGUUUCAUUUUUUUUUUUUUUUUAAGAAAAAAAUAGUCACAACUUUCAUCUGGCCUCGCUUCAUGACUUUACACGACAUUGAUAGCUAAUGGGAGAUGUUUUAAUUUAUGGAAUGGUUCAAGGUUCUAGGAUUCAAGAUUCUUGAAUUUGAUUACACUGCCCUUUGUGGCACAAGAUAGCCUUCCUUUUGGCUUUGGCCACAUCUUUUUCAAAUUUUUUUUAAAACUUGGUAAUGUUAUAAGUAUUUAAUAUGCACUACUGCCCUCUUUGUUUGUUCUUUUCUUUUGAGUUGUAUGCUCACAAGUAGGAAUGCCCAAACAUUCCCCCGCCCCCGUCCCGCUUCUCCCAUGAGUGCUCGCAAGAGCUAAUAAAAAUUUGUUUUUUAAAUAGAAAAAAAGAAUUUUCAUUAAUGUAAAAUAAUGUCUACAACAAGUGUGGUAACAAUAAAAUCUGGAAGAAAGGCCCUCCAUAUACUUUUUUUUUUUUUUUCAGAAACGUUAGAUAAUUUCAUUAAUAUAUUGUAAACUAUACAAUUGCUGAGCAAAGGCCCAAUUUGACUUUACAAGUGCAUCUUGGCACUAAGGUCUGAAUUCUGAAAUCUGAAUACUGAAACAAUUAAUUUGCUAUGAAUGUCUGAAUUUUAAUACUAAACAUAUUUAUACUGUUUGAUAAAUACUUAUAAUUGAAUGCUUAAUAAGUUUAAUUUGAUAAUUUUGCCCUUAUAUCCUUUCAUUCAAAAAGAAAUAGAAUCUAUGACUUAAUUAGUUUAAAAUUGUUAGGUAUGAACAUGAUAAUAUUUAUUUUUAAAUCAAAUUAAUAUAAAAGAUGAAAUAUAUUAUAUGAGGAGUAUGGAGAAGAUGUGAAAGCCAUUAAAAAGGAAGAAAAGAGAAACUAAAAAUCAUUAGAUAGAAAACAUUAGGUUGUGAAAGUCAUUAAAAGGGGAUAAAAGAGAAACUAAAAAUUGUUAGAUAGAGAAUAUUAUGUUGUUUAAUUAGAUAAGAAUUUUGAACAUAAUUUACAAACAAGGGUAGAUUUGGUAGAUAAGCUAAGGUAGUUGAAGUAAUUCUAUUGAUUCUUAUUAGAAUUAAGCAUUCAGUUAGGAUUCUUGUGCUGAAAAAAUACAUACAAGUUCAGCACUGUUUAACAAGUUCAGCAGAUAUAUUUUCAUUUAUCAAACACUCAAAAUAUCUGAAUGUCUGAAAAGGUUUAGUUUCAACACUUUUUUAUGUUAUCAAACAGACGCUAAGAGUGUAACCACUCUUCAUCAAAAGAAAUGCUUAAUCCAUGCAUGCUAACUAAAUCAACCCUUUCCUCCGUUAAGUUAAUGGAUAAAAUGAAUGAGCAACAUUGUUCAACUUUCUAGGUGCCCAUAAUGCUUUCUAGGUUGCAAAGCUUUAUAUAUCUAUGAGAAUAUAAUCCACAAAGUUGAUGCAUCCGAAUCCAUACUUUGAGAAUCAUUUUAAUAACUUCUUGACAAUAGAAAUUUGUUAAGUGCAAAAGAAUAAAAGUGUAACUAGUAAUUUAGUAUAAAUGUAUUAAUACAACAAAUCAUUAAUUUAUAGUAUUACAAAUGUAUAAUUAUUAGUGUAAAUAAUAAUAUUAAUUAUAUUACAUAUACAUAAUCUAAUACUUAUAACUACUAAUAAUAUCAAAUAUAUAUUAUAUAUAUAAUUAUAAUAUAUUUAUUUUUUUAGGUGGGUAAUGGGACAGGGGUAUACUCCCUUAUCCCCCACCCCAUUUUUUAAGGGGGACAGAAAAUGAUCCUUGCCUCGCCCCAUCUCUCACCCCAUCAAUCCCUACGGGCACCCGUCCCAAUUGCGAUCCCUAUUCAAAUGGAAUAUGGACCUAUAUUAAGGUAAAAUAAGAACGAAAUAAACUUGAUAUUAGUGGGCAAUAAAGGUUGGAUUAAUCUUGACAAUAUAUACAUGAUCAUUGUUCGAUGCAUGACAAGCAAUUUGAAUUUAAAUUUAAAUUUUAAAUUUUAUAUAUAAUAUAUAGAAGCAUAAUAAUGUAUGCAUUAUCAAUGUAUAUAAGAUUACCCACAAAAGUGAUGGAAUUGUACAACAAAGUGAUCAUGUAUAUGCUCAUUUAAACAAAGUAACGAGACACAACAAAGUGGCAAACAAAGAUAAUUUCAAACUCACCCUCUUGAUCUCAAAGUCGCGUUUGAGUUCAACCAAGUUGAAUUGUACAAAAUCGGACUCGUUUUGGUUCAACAAAAUGAAAAGAUAAGAGAUUGAGUUGAAUCUCAUGUUCUUCUUUCUUUUUGGAGCAAAUCUUCCCGUUCAGGCUUGAGUGCUUAAGCGUAAACAACCCCGUUGGAGCUCUAACAGAAAAGAACAUUUAUCCCUGUUUAUUUAUCCAGUACAUAGCCAAGUUUCAAGUCAAAAUAGGAGCAAAAGCAGCAAGAAGAUUACAACAGAAAAUUUUUAUUCCCAAAAGUAUGAAAGGCGCAAACAUAUUUACAUGCCGUUGUCUACAUUCUAUGCUUAAACAAUUUUAAAGUGAGUUCAUUAUUUUUUCUUGGCGAUAGGCGUCCCUCGAAAACUUGUCUUACGCGAAAUUUGGGUUUCCAUUCAUUUUGAUGUUGCAUUACAUUAGCAUUUGAUCAGAUUCAGCAUGGUUAUACUCCCCUCUAAUUCGAACCACAUUCUAAGUAUUUCGCCAACUAAAACAAAGUUGGAACGGAGUCUGAUCAAUUUGAAAGGACAGAAUCAUCACUUUUGAAGAAGUAUCAUAUAAACUUUUGAUGGGUGUCAAACCACCAAAAUUAAAAUUCAUACUCUAAACUUAAAUUCAAAUAUAGCAGUGAGUAGAGUCGUCUACUCAAAGACUGCAUGAUUUAUUUCCAUCCAAGCAAGAAUUAAAUGGGGGGUUUUGAAAAUUUAAAAUAAAAAAAAAAUCAAUUUAAGUAAAAGCAAUCAAAUGAAAGAAAAUUUAAAUUAAUUCAAUAAUAAAAAAGCUCUAGCCAAGGAUAAAAUUCUGGAAUUGGUUCGUACAACUGCUUAUUGAUCUAAUAAUAAUUUCAUCUAUCCAUUAACAAACAUGUUAUAAUUGCCAAACAAGUAAUGACGAUCAAUAUUUCCUUUUGAUAAUUACUAAUAGUUAAGGUACCUCGUAGAAUUUAAUUUAUUAGUUGCAUUAAAAACUAGAAAAACCAUGUUAUAAGGAUUUAUUUAAAUUAGAUCAUAUAUUUCCCUAAUAUGAAACCAAUUACGCUAGUUACCACUAAUUUAAGACAAUUAAACAAUUACGGAUUUAACUGUCUUAAUUGGCAAUGGAUUAUUAGGUUGAAUUAAAUAUCGAGCCCUUCAUAUUCAAAUAACAAAAUAACCAUGAGAAAUUAAAUCAGAAAACAUACGAAUAUUAAUGAAUAAAAGAAAUAGAUAAAACAAUUACGUCUCACAGUUGUAGUUGAACCAAACCAUUCGUUAUCCCAUUGACUAGAAAAAGAAAAUUACCCCACUCAUCCUUGGGAAUAAUCCAAGUAAUUUCAUUGACAAAAGUUGCAUAAGCUUUCGACAAAUAGGAAAACAAAAGAGAAAAGACGGACAGCUCCUUAGUUUUUGUUUUGUGCCGAGACUAAUAAUAAUCUCCUAAGAACAAAGACGUUCCUCUGUUUUUCGUUCGAGACUACUCAAUCACCUCUACAAAACAAAGAUAUCCCCUUUUUAAAGUCGAAGAAAACAAAAAGUGAAAGAAGAAAUCCCCGUUUCUCACGUUUCCUUCGAAAGCACUACUACUUUUCUAAUUUUUCCUAAGAAAAGGAUAUUUCCUAAAAAUGACAAAGGAUAAGCUAACUCGUUUCCUAAUACAGGUUGGAAAGACUGAAGGGCAAUCAUCUUGGGAACAGAAAAAUACGCUCCUAAGGACUUUAACUUGAAUUGGGAAAUUGCCAAACGUGCAAAUGUCGAUCUCUCCGGACUUGACAAUAGAAUUUGGACGUGCCCACAACAAACCGGUUCAUCGUCUUCUGAAAAAUUGCCUCCUUUCAUCACUUUUUUCCUCUACCUCUUACAAUUAACAUCAUUAAUCAAGCAUAAGUAGAAUCUAUCAAUUAAUAUAAUAUUUGAUCAAAAUUCAAGGAAAAAUACUCAUAAAUUUGACAGCAAUUACGCACCCUGUCAACUUUAUGUAAGAGGAAGGAACGAGAGAUUGAGCUCUUGAUAAUCAUCCAUCAUACACUCAAUCCACACGAGAUUCAUAAAUAUGGAGUUAGAAGCCCGCAGGGAAGGGAAAGUUAAAAGCAAUGUACUGGGUCGUGAUUUGUUGGUGCAAACGGGGUUGGUUGGUUUCAAAUGGGUGUGACCAUUAUACUUGUACAAUAGAUAAUUUUUGAGUGAGAAUUUUCAUUAUUCAACAUGGUUGUUUAAAAUUUGAGGACCCUUAAUUUAAUCUGUUCCAAGAUACUCAUCCACCUGAAAAUUUCUUAAAAUUGAGGUUUAACUUCUUUCUUGUCUCGGCUCUUUCUACUACUGUUGACUCUAUAACUUACAACAACAACCCCUUUCUCAAUUUUUCUUUGCUAAAUCAUACUACUGUGGCUUUAAAAUGUUGCUCUUGAUUGACAUUCCAAAACUAGACGGCCUAUCCAGUAGGUUACCAGGACCGAAAGAGGGUUACCAGGCCCAAGGUGUCGUCCUACCCACCAGGGAUUUUCCCUCUAAUACACGAUCCAGGCCAAUCAUAAGUGACUCUGGUUUGGGCUACCUUAUUCAUCUGGAAUCCGGGCUACGACCCUGAAUUUUUGUCAAACAUUUUGUUUGACAGUGAUAGAACUGUCAAACAUUCGAAUGACUUCCAUUUUACCAAAAGCCUGAUUGAUGGCAAUUUUGCCAGUUUGUCCAACAGCAAUAUGCUUCAGUUUGGAAGUAAAAUGUCUUUCUAUCUGAUUUGGGGUUUCCCAAAACGAUUUUACAAAUGGGCUAUAUGGUAUCUAGGAAGACCAUCUGUCAUGUUUUUGUGUGGCACAGCGAGUUGUUGAUUAAGCUAAAUCAUUACCUACACAUUAGCAUUUGAAGAAUAUUUGGUCCGAGGUAUCUGAAAUUUGAGAUGUUCUUGUCUGAAAGAAGAAGUUUUGGCGGCGAAGGGAGAUCAUUAUUGGUAGGGAUUCCUUAGAAGAAGUUUGGUUUGUAAACUUAAAAUGUGGAUGGCUCAGCAGUAGAAUGGAGUCCGGGCCUGGUAGGUAGAGGUGGCGUGCUCAGAUCAGAAGUGAUGAGAGAAGCUUUUUCGGCUAUGGGGUGGUGAAUAUCGGACAGGCACAGGCUACAAGUCUUGCUGCACAAUUGUGGACGAUUGAUUGUAGCAAGGUUUAAAAGUAGCUUGAAAGUCUCAAAUUGAGGCAUGCUGGAGUGGAAUCCGACUUUAAACUAAGGCUAGACUUGGUUCGAUAUGCAGGAGUUUUAUCAAAACUUACUUUAGCAAAUAAUACCAUCAGGCGUUUCUUUGUUAUCAAAUUCACAGAUGUUGUUGAGCCGCUGUUAGCUUCAGAUCUUUGUAGGUGCUUCAGAAGUUGUUGAGUACGCUUUGCCUUUUACAAUAUCGUCAAAAGUUUAAUUGACAGAAGAUGAUAAGUAGACUAUCUUUCAUAAUUAUUUGGAAAGGAAGGAUUUGUGAUUGGUUUGGUAGAGCUAGUUGGAACUAGGAAAGGAUUCUUUCAUAUAAUGUAUGGCGCUAUGUCCCCAGUUUUUGUUAUUGCCGCAACCCAAUAGGUUUUGAGAUGUUAAACAUACGAAUUUGUAUUAGGAGUACCUGAGUUGAGGAGGGAAAUACCAGUGAGCCCUGAAUCCAAAGAAGGGUGCUGAAGCAGAUGAACACCUAUGGGUAUGGGGUACGGGUUCAUUGAGAUAACUAGAAGACCCAUACUUGAGGCCAGCAAGUACUUUAAAUGCUCCACAAAUUGGAUGGUUGAACAGGAGUAGCCGUGGACCGGAGGUUAAGUAUGGGAUUGAAACGAAUAUUGGCAGAAGAUUCAUUGUCAAUGCAUCUGUGAUCACUGAUUAGCGGGGACUAAGGCUAUACUUUCAAGACACUACUAAUUUUAACUCGCGUGCUUAUUAUAUCCCACCGGCAACAGCUAAAGGAGAAAAUAGGAGGAAGUGAUCAUGGAAAAACGAAGAUGAUAUCAUCACUAUGGACUUUGUUCUCACGGCUGCCUGCAACUUGGAACUCUGCAAUAUCAUCCCUAACAUAUGGGAAAACCAUGAAACAGCUGCCAGAGGACAGUUUGCUUGAAAAAUGGGAUCCCGGUGCAAGACUGAAUAAUUAUUACUGACAAAACCAAAAAUUUUAAGAAGCACGCAAAAUGCUAAAUCCGCUAUAAUUAGCACUUUGAGAAAUCCACCAAAAGAUUGAAACCAAGCAUUAUUGCUUUUCAAGCUUAAAAGUAUCACACGCAGUUUAGAUUUUCAUCUCUUUGAGAUAAAAGGCAAAACUUUACUUACACUUACAGGUUCUGUGCGACCGUUACGGGACAUUCACAAGCUUAUGACAACUUUCUGCAGCUGAUCCCAAUUCCGGGGUCAGCCUUUCAAUCAAAGUUUCAACUCCUCAUUUUUUUCAGUAUCAGAAUUCUAUGUGCAUUUGAUGUGGAAACAUUGGAAACUCCCAUCUUGUUGAGAGUUAUCAUGUAAUUUGAAUUCAAGGCCAAAAGCUCAUGGCUGAGGAACGGAAUUCCUGCUUCUGCUAUACCUUGACAAGAACACCCUGGCACUGCAAGAAAGUGAUCUCUUUACCGCAGAAGUCUCUUUUUGCGAUGAUCUCUCCACCGAAGAACAACCCUCCGAUCUCGACAAGCACUGCUCAUUGCCAGCUCCCUUUGGAGCAAGACCCAUACUUGAUCCAUUCAUUUGCAUAUUCUUGUUGUCUGAGUUUCUGUCACAUUGUGGUGGAAAUGCAUUAGCAAUAGCAGCACUAACUUUGAAGGCUGAUAAGGAAUCCAUCGAAACUGAUCUUCUGAGCGGUUGAAUUCCUUCCUCCUCUCUGGCACCACUAUUUCCCACAUCUUCCAUGAAAUUUUCAUUUCUCCUCGAUGCAUUUCCGGUUCCUACCCUUGAUUCAUCUUCCUCUUCCACCUCAACACCGACUUCAAGAACCUCACUUUCCCUUUCUCUCUCGGAAUCCCUAUUAUUUUCCGAAACUCCCAUUUGGAUUUCCUCCACACGACCUGAAUUAUGAUGACUCUGCGACGAAGACUGGAGGUUAGCCGUGCUCACAACAAUCCCAGCUCGGCAAUUGGGGCAAUUGGUGUGUGAUCUGAGCCAAGUAUCAAUGCAAGGUAUAUGAAAAGCAUGAUUACACUUGGGCAGCAGCCUUAAAGUCUCAUCUUCUUGAAAUUCAUUCAAGCAAACAGAGCACUCUGUUCCUUCCACCAGUCCAUCACCUCUUUUAUACUUACAAAUAGUGAUUGCAUUAAUCACAGACGACUGAAGACCAACUGUCCUGAUAUACCAUAUGGGAUGGUCAACCACGGGACCCUGAUCUUCAUCAAGAAAAUCCAGAUGGGCUUCUUCAUCCUCUCCAGGCUGCUGCUGGGGCUGUGGAAUCAAUUGCCUACUCCUUGAAGACGUAUACCGACGUUUAUAAAACUUGUAUAUCAUGUAGAUAGAGAAAAUCAAGAAAGUUGUGGCUAAAACACCAAGAGACACGGAGAGGGAGACAUAGAGUCCAGAUGGCUGGGUAGAAUGCUUGCCAUCAGAAAGCAAAGUAUGAUCAGGAGGUGGUGGAGGCAGACCGGGAAAGAGUGGAUGGUUGCAGGUUGGAUAACAUUGGAGUAUACAUCUGACCGGACAAGAUCCGUCUAGGUUGUGUACAGGAUCACAGAAAGAUAGACAAAGUCUUUCAACUGAAUUCUCGAGAGAAUCAUUAAGCAACUUCCUGUGGUGGAAGGACAUGGCUCAUUUGAUUUUCAUAACAGUGAUUUUUCUGGGGUGUUCUUGGUGGGGUGAAGGAAGGAAGAAAGGAAGGGAGGAGGGGUUGGGGCCUGGGGGAUGGGGGGCUGGGGGUUGGAGGUUGGAUGAGGAUUGAGAUGGAUGGAAGAGUCGGCGAAGGCUACCACUUGGAGUUGGAGUGUUGCUGAAUGUUGACUAAAGCUAAUACUUUUUCGUUUUUUUUUGUCAAAAGAAAAGCUUUUCUUUUUUCCUAAUCCGGCCAUUUGUUGAUCUUGACUUCUACGAAGGUCCGUCUAACUUUGAAGGCGGCAGAUCGUCCUUGCAUGUCUUAUUUCCCUAUAUAAUCCGUAUUGUAUUGGAAAUUGCAAAAGUAAUACAAAGUUCUGAAUUUUUCUCAAAAUAAAGAUUUUACUUUGAAAAGACAAUUUCAAAAUCACAAUUUUAGAUGGCAAAUUCACAGGUUAUUUAUUCUUCAUUUCUCUCUAGAUUCCUUGUUCUAAAGUGGUCUAUAGUCAUCAUUUCAAAUAUUCGCUUGAAAGGAUCGAUCUAUAAUAGUAAUUUUUAAGUUAUCUUUUGAAAUAACGAAAUCUUUAUUUUAAAAAGAAUUAAAAAUUUUGGAAUUUCAAAUAAAUAUUGGAUUAAAUAGGUAAAAUCCCAUCAAGCUCACUCCAAAAUGGUCACUUUGUUUUUCUUUAGUUUUUUAUCCAUACAUGGUCAUGUAGUUUUUUGGGUUAAUUACAGUUUGCUUCCCUGAAUUUGAUCCAUUAUAACACUCUACCCCCCUGAACUUUAAAUAUAUACACUUUGCCCUCUUCAUUGAUUAAUCAAACAUUAAUGAUGAAUUCUCCAUCCAAAAUUUUAACAACAUAACAUUAAUGUCCUUACAUAAUAGUUCCAUAAUAAUACUAUACUUUUAAUUGAAAUAUGAAACAUCUUAUUAGAAAAAAAACACAAAGUCACAUGAUUUAAAAAAUAAAAAAAAAAUACAAGAUGGUAUAAUAUCAAAGAAUUGAAAAUUUGUAUUGCAGAAAAAAAAAUUUAAAAAUUCUUAGAACAUCUGCCCAAAUUUUCCAUCACUUAUCUUUCUUCCUUUAAAUUGUAAACGGAUUGAUUUUAAUAAUUUUCAUUUACGUUGCAACUUUCACAAGAUUUUCAAGAGUCAAUAAAAUGCUAUUUGGUAAUUUUAUACCGCAUUCAUACCUUGCUGUGUAUUUUGUUUGAGUUCUAUAUUUUAAAAAAUAAAAAAUUCUCUAACUAUGUUUUUCAAUAUAUUUUUAUUUUUAAUCAUGUUUUUAUAUUAUAUAAAACACAUUAAAAAGUACUACAAUAAAAAAUAAAAGCAAAUAAUUUUUAUUCCAUAUGUACUAAUUAAUUUUAUUUCAUUUAAAAUAAGUACUACUAUCGGCAAUGAAAUAAAUACAUUGUAUAUUUUUUUGGAAUCAAAGGCGUAUUUACAUUUUGAUUCACACGUGAAAAUUCUCCUUGAUUAUGUGGACAGCAGUAGUAUUGUGUAACUGUGUUGCAAUUGUUGGGUUAGUCCAAAUUCAACUGCAUAGUGGUGAAUGACGCUCAUUGUUGUUUCUUUCGUCUAUAUGGGCAUUACCUUUUUCUUUUUCUUUUUUUUAAAAAAAAAAAAAUUUUCAGCGCAAAAACAAAAAGUGUUUAAGUUAGAUUUAAGAGAGUUGUUGGCUAGUUUCAACUUAUUAGUGCAUUAUGCUCACAAAAUAGGGAACAAAUAAGCGCAGUAAUGCCACUGCCUUCUCUUGUCUCCGCACAUUAAUUCCAAAGAACUUUCAACCGAAACACUACGGUAGAAGCUGGUGAACUCACCAUGAGAAAAGAUCCAUUUUCCAAUGGAUAAAUAUUUUCUUUAGCUCAAAACUUCAGCAUUGUAAUUAUAAUUCUCUAGUUAAAUUUUUUUAAAAAAAUAUAUAUAUAUAUAUUGGCAUGGCCCUCCACAUGAGCACAACUUUCUUUCCUAAUUUUGAAUGGGAAACAACCAUCAUUUUAUUUCAGUCAAUUGUUUUACAUUUGAUAAAUGCUCCAGCUGGAGAAGUAGAACCCAGCAAUGCAUGUGGGAGCAGUUUAAUUUGGUCAACAACAAGGUACAUUUUUUAAGUAAUUGGUUCCGAAUCUGAGUUCAUAAAGGAGUUUUCUAGCCAUCACAAGUUGGCUUAAUUAACGAGAAUGAGUCAUUUUCUUGUAAAAAGUUGUAUGCUCAAAAUUAGCUGUUAAUGUGACGGUUGUGUUGAAAAAGAAUCUGUGAGAAUCUCUGUAAACGACCUAUGGUCCGGAGAGAUAUGCCUUGACUCAUAGUGAUGACCGGAGUCGAACCACCCAAAUUUUAAUUUACCCAAAAAAAAAAAAAUGGAGUUUCUGAAAAAGCAUCCACAACCAUUAAAACAGCUUGCCUAUUUGACCUAUCUGAUAAUGACUUCCAGGCUGAUAUUACCCGCAGAUUCUUCAAAUCCGGCUGCCUCGUACAUGAAAUUCUUUCCCUGAAAAAUGUGGUGCUGAUUGUAAGAGUCGACUUGAUGAACAGUAAUAAAAGGUACUGAUAUUUAUUAGUUUGCCAACAAUAAUCAAAUUUAGCUUAACAUAGUAAACGAAAUUAAUCUCGUGCUUAAUUUCAGUUUUCAAUUCUAGUGGUGGUACGUUUGAAGUAGAAGAAUCAGAUUGAAUUUGAUUAAUGCAACCCUGCCAUCUUUGUUUGUUUGUUUGUUUGUUGAUGAUUAUACUAAAUAGAAUACAUUAGUAUGGUUUAUAUUUUGAUUGUUCAGCUGCAUUUUGCACGAAUGAUAAGAAGUCAGUUCGUGAUAUAAUUAAUUACUAAUGGAUCGUUGUCAGUUGGGUGACCUAUCAAUAAUGAUACUUGAAGCGGAAAUAAUUACUGAUCACUACAGGGAAUAGUAUUACUAUUAUUUUCCACCCUGGAAAAAGUCCUCCCUCCGUAGCUAACUAACAACCCUGUCAUGCUCUUACGUUACUUCACCAGAAAGAAAGAGCAAAGGGCAGGGUAAAAAAAAAAAUGGAUAUAUAUAUAUAUAUGAUCCUAUAUUAUACACCCAGCAUUAGCAUUAAGAAGAAAGCAGCUUAAUUAAUUUGGAAGAUUUGACCUGUGAAAUUUGUUUCCAAGUACUAUGGUAUAUAUUUAGAAAAUCAAAUUGGAAGAAAAAACGAAACAUUACUAACUUGCACGGAAGAUGUUGCUUGCGAAAAUUUUAACUUAAAAAAGUGAUCAUAGGAUUAGGAAAGCUCGCAUCAUACCUUGGCGUGUUCGUAUCGAUCUGCUGCUCUCAAGUUAGUACUAAUUUUAACGUUUGGACCCAUAUUGUCUACACGAACACGUUCUGUCCAGUUCAAUUCGACCAAAUUAAAAGACUUCCAACUUGAGUUGUGGCAUCCCUCUCUAUAGCUAACAAUAAUAUACCAUCAAACCUAUUCAUUCAUCAACGAUAAGGAGUCCUUGUUCGAUCAGAAAGUUCUUUUUUUUUUUGUUGUUUUCGGGUGAAUGAUAAGCCUUUGGUCCGGUGGAAAAUCUGUUCAUCAUAUAGUACCAAGUAUAACUAUGUCAGCUGCUGCAAGAAACUCUCCCUACAAACUUCAGGAUUUGGUCACCCUACUUUACCGUUAUAGACUUUCUUCAUCGGUGGCAAAUGCCGGCAACCGCCAGUUCUUGUCAUCCAAGUUCCGUUGUGGCAAUUACAUGAAUCAAGGGUACUUAAGAUCAUUCACUAGCGCCCCCAUCGACCAAGCUGAUGCAAAAGGAAAACCCGAUUUUCAAAUGUAGCAGUCUCUCUCUCUCUCUCUCUCUCUCUAUAUAUAUCAUCUGCUGUCUCAUCUUCCAUUUUGCUAAAUAUAUUCUUCUUCUUUUUUCUACCUGUUCUUUUGGGGCUGUGUUUUGUUUGUUGUAGAUUGAAGGACGCAGAGAAGAAGGUUCAGCCAACGUUGCCGGCUUCUGCUGACAAGCAAAGCUUUUCAUCGUGGUAAUUAAGAACUAGCUUGUUUGGCAUGACUAAGGAGUACGCAGUAGGCAUGACUCAGAUAUGCUCCUCUGAAUAAUGUGCAAUUUUCUUAAUGAGUAUAAUAAGGGUAUGGAUCAUCUGGAGAGUAAUGCAUAUCCCAGCUUGAGUCCUCUCUUAACAAGUGCAUAUAUUAAGUACUCGUUAACCAAACUGAUUGUUAAAUGCUACUUCAUCCAAGGAAAAAGAUUGCCAAUGUAAAAAACACUUAGUUCUGCCUAACCAAAAAAUAUAUAGCUACUCAAAAGAUAACCAAUGAAUUAGACUUCAUAGAAACACAAAUUCCCCAGUUAGAAAGGAUGAUCUAUGUCAUACCCCACAAACUAUGAACCAAUCUUUAUGCCACAUCUAACAGCUAAGAAGAACAGUAAUUUACGCUUCUUGCUUAUUAAUUCAGCCUGCAUAAAAGUUUGAUUCGUUCGCUGCCUUCAAGUUCCCUCUCAACAUUGAAGACACGAUCUUUUUAUGGAUUAAAGGGAGAACUAAAUUCUGCAGGGCCAAGUGGCUUUUGGGUUCUUUGAUGACAUUAUUGUUGCCUUUCUGGAAGCAAGAGUGGGAAAGCUUACGAGGACUGGAAGGUACGUUUGUGUUAUGCGUACAAAACAACGAUUCUAUGGGGCCGGGUAUUUGAUUAAAAGGUGAUUUAAUUACUUGGAUAGUUGCAUCUCACUAAAUUAAAGCUUCUUUGAAUCAUAAUCGGGGAGCGUCCAGGGAAGGUGGAAAAGGUCGUUGGAGAGGUAGAAGUUGUAGCGGAGGUGGUGGAGAACGUGGCCACUGUGACGGAGAAGGUGUCAGCAGAGGUGGCUGAAAAGCUUCCGGACAAUAACAAAAUCAAAGAAGCUGUGCUGGCGGUAGAACACUUAUCAAGUGUGGCCGCUCAAGAGGCUAAAUUAAUCGAAGAUUUUAUUCACAACGUAUGUGGAUCAGUUAAGAAUAAAAAAGAAAACCAUUUGCUGUAAAUCAAUUACUGGUUCACUAAUGGCAGCUUGGCUACUUUGGGUUGACAGGUUGGUGACAUGAAGCAAGACCUGAAAGAGAUGGAGAAAAUAGCAGAGCCUGCAAUUGAAAAAGUAGUGGAACCCCAUCAUCAAGAACAAGCAGCUUAGAUGGACGCGAUUUUCUCGUGGCAAGGAGUAUUUUCCACGGCACUAAACGUGCAAUGCUAAUUAGUUCCCUGAUCCAUUUCUGUAAAAGCCUCGUCUUUGUUCUGUAAAUAACUGAUCAAUUCGUACGUGCAAUUUGCAGAUGGCUAUUGAAAGACCAAUAAGUUGAGCUUGGAAAAUGCUCUUUUAGAUUCCACUUGAUGAUCGAAUUUUGCGUAAUUAACAGUCUAUUAAUUGUUUUUGUUCUUCUGAAAGCCAUGCAGCUUCAUCAUAGACUAUAUCUGUUUAAGCAUUUAACUUCCAGCCAAGAAGCUACAUUUGUGUCUCUUCCAACUCCAUGCAUCUCCCAAAUUACCUUAGUACAAUAUGUAGCCAUCAUUGUCCUAUUUGCGAAAAGUUCCAUACCGCCAUCAUUGUCAAAAAAAAUAAUUAAUUAAAAUUAAAAUACUACUCCCACCUAGAAUUUUACAGAAAAUAAAAAAUAAAAAAUAAAAUACUACUCCCUUCCACGUGACAUGUUACACGUUAGGCGAUGGAUGUCAUUGUAGCAAAAAACUAAUUCUAGUGUCCAUGUAAGAUCUAUGUUGGUAGGCCAUAUAUAAUAACUUCUGUAAGUGACCAUGUCCUAAGCCAUAGUAGUGAUUAAAUUCGAACCCAUUUGAACUUUUAAUUAGUAAAAAAAUUUAUUGGAGAGACCCAGCAGAAUUAAUAACAGAGGCAGCAGAAGCCCCUCAGAUUUCAGAAUUGAAUGAAAGUCUGUGGAAUGCGGAUUAAUACCACGUAACAACCCAUAGGCUUUUUUAUCCGCCGCUCUAUAUCACGUCAAUAAUGAGUGUGUCUAGGUAGGUAGCAGAUUAUUCGAAAUAAUUUUUUAAAAAAAUUAUUAUAAUAUUUUUUUAAUAUAAUAUAUAUAAAAUAAAAAUAUUAUUGAAAAAUAUGUUAACAAUACAAACAACUAUUUUCUAAUCCAUGAUGAAGAUUAAGGAUCAUUCUUUUAUAAUUGGGUAGAUAAGAUUUUGUUAAUAUCCGAAAAAGAUACAAAAUACAAGGGGCAUACCCUAUCCGGCCAUAAAUCAACCAACAAAGACACAGAUACGCUCACACUGUUGACAAAUUAUCAUUUAGAGAGAAAUUACGCGUAUUUCUUCUCUCGGUAUAAUCCCUGAAAAAAUCGCUAAAUGGAUGAUAGCUUGAAGGUUCAAAUCUUCAGCAGAAAGCUGAUAAAACCAUCAAAUCCAACUCCAAGUCAUCUUAGAAGCUUCAAGCUUUCAUUGUUCGAUCAGCUAGCUCCUCCACUAUAUGUUCAUAUACUCUUCUAUUACUUGCUUGAUGAAGAUCACAAUCGAGCCGAAAACGAUGAGAGAUUUGCUCAAAUGCAGAAAUCCUUGUCCCGGGUAUUAUCCAAGUAUUACCCUCUAGCUGGCAGAUUCCUUAAAGAUGAACUCUUGAUUGAUUGUGCGGAUCAAGGAGUUGAAUACUUUGAGGCACAUGUCAAUGGAGAACUUGUGGAGUUUCUUCAAGAAGGACCAGAGAUUGAGCUUCUGAAUAAAUUUCUGCCCUGGAAUCCUCCUCCGUCGCCAUAUCUGGCAACAAGUCCACUAGUAGCAGUCCAAAUCAACAAGUUUGAAUGUGGAGGAGUAGUGGUAGGCAUCCAAAUUUCACACUUCAUUGUAGAUGCCAGUUCAAUGAUGACAUUCCUGAAGGAAUGGGCUAACAGCUGCACUAGCCCGACAGAGAUGUAUCCAGUGCUCAGUCCUAAUUAUAAUGAUCACUUUGUUUCAAUCUUCCCGGCAAGAACACUAUCAGGGCCUAAACCCCGGCCACCAGCCGACUACCCUGCUAAGAUAGUCACGCAAAGAUUCUUGUUAGAUGAAACGAUAAUAGAGAAGAUCAUGGAAGGAGCUGCUUUAUCUUGUUCAAAAUGUAAUUUUCAUCCAUCUAGAGUGGUGGUAGCGUUAGCACUGAUAUGGAGGGCUCUCCUAGGAGUAUGUCUUGCCAAACAUGGGCACUUCAGGGACUCAAUUGUUGCUAUUGCAAUGAACUUGAGGGGGAAAACAGCUCUAACAAUAUCAGAACCAAAUUAUGGGAACUUUUGGACCUCGGUCAUAGUUCCAUUGGAAGCGAAAAAAGCCAAGAUACAGUUGCAGGAGCUGAUGAUAUUACUCGAUAAUAGAAUAAAAUCCACAAGUGAAAAACUUGCAACAGCUAGUCCUGAGGAUAUUUCAUCAAUGCUGAUCGACUCCCGCAGAGAGAUUAUUGAGAAACGUUAUCUGUCCGUUGGUAUAGAUGUUUACGUUUGUACCAGUUGGUGUAGGUUCCCGAUACAUGAAGUUGAUUUUGGUUGGGGAAAACCACAUUGGGUAAGUCAUGCAAGCAAAGCAAUUGAGGCGAUUGGUUUGGUGGAUGCCAAAAAGGGAGAGGGGCUUGAAGCAUGGGUAAGUUUGAAAGAGGAGGACAUGAUCGAAUUCAAAAGAGCACUGGAAGUUUUAGUGCCAGUGCCCAAAUGAUAAUUCUAGCGUCCUUGAAGUUUAUACUGUGAUUCCACUUUGAUUAGCUACAUUUUACGGUAACAUCGAAUCUUGUUUUCCCGUCCUUUGUACUGCAGUUAUGGUGCUAAUAUUCUGAAAAUCAUGUUUAGAAUUUGUUUUUCAUCUUAUACUUUUUUCUGACAAACUAAGACAAUGCCAGUACUAUUUAUUUAUUCGAUUAACAGAUCAGCAGAGUGAGGUGUCUCCUGCAAUUCAACCGUGUAAAUCUUCCUGUUUGAAAGAACUAGUUUUGCCAAGGGACUUAUCACUUAUCAGGGCUAUUCCCCUGAUCGUUUCAAACUUUAGCUCAUAUCUAAUGCAGUCAGCUGAAGCUACAUUAUCCUCAAUCACAUGAAAAUUGCCAAAUUGCGUCAGACAUGCUAGAUUGGAAAAGACCUCACAGAAAAAGAACCUCCCAAGUCUUUAAAGAGGAAGUUCAACAUUGUAUCAUCUUUUGAUCUUUCAGAAUGGUAUUCCUAUAUACAUCAGACAGGCUUCAAGAAGUAAACAAUUUUCAGACAACUAUUGCACAAAUUGCAGCUAAAAUGCAUAAAUCAGGAAAAAAGAAUGACACGCAAUGCAUGACAGUAGAAAGAACAUAUAAUGACUAUCACUAGAAUAAGG
rnacentral:lncRNA from 1 species